AGGAUUCAGGGGGCAAUUCCAUGAUCAGGAAGUUGGAUUCACCAGGGUGAGGCUCGCCCAUUGCACUCCAGGCGUGCUGACCCCUGCCAUUUCCCCAAAUGUGGGAAACUCGACAGCAUAAUUUAUGGUAGUGGGGGAGUGCAUGCGCGCUAUCCCCUG